rnacentral:rRNA from 1 species
CAGGUUUACCUGUGUGACUGCGUACCUUUUGUAUAAUGGGUCAGCGACUUAUAUUCUGUAGCAAGGUUAACCGAAUAGGGGAGCCGGAGGGAAACCGAGUCUUAAUUGGGCGUUAAGUUGCAGGGUAUAGACCCGAAACCCGGUGAUCUAGCCAUGGGCAGGUUGAAGGUUGGGUAACACUAACUGGAGGACCGAACCGACUAAUGUUGAAAAAUUAGCGGAUGACCUGUGGCUGGGGGUGAAAGGCCAAUCAAACCGGGAGAUAGCUGGUUCUCCCCGAAAGCUAUUUAGGUAGCGCCUCGUGAAUUCAUCUCCGGGGGUAGAGCACUGUUUCGGCUAGGGGGCCAUCCCGGCUUACCAACCCGAUGCAAACUGCGAAUACCGGAGAAUGUUAUCACGGGAGACACACGGCGGGUGCUAACGUCCGUCGUGAAGAGGGAAACAACCCAGACCGCCAGCUAAGGUCCCAAAGUCAUGGUUAAGUGGGAAACGAUGUGGGAAGGCCCAGACAGCCAGGAUGUUGGCUUAGAAGCAGCCAUCAUUUAAAGAAAGCGUAAUAGCUCACUGGUCGAGUCGGCCUGCGCGGAAGAUGUAACGGGGCUAAACCAUGCACCGAAGCUGCGGCAGCGAACGUAUCACUUAAAGCGAUUCAGCGGGUUACGAUUGACGGAGCGAAGCGACGUCAAAGCGUAUACAAAGUCGAGUCGGUUUAAGGAUACGUUCGUUGGGUAGGGGAGCGUUCUGUAAGCCUGUGAAGGUGUGUCGUGAGGC